rnacentral:rRNA from 1 species
UGGGGAAUUUUGGACAAUGGGCGAAAGCCUGAUCCAGCAAUGCCGCGUGUAGGAUGAAGGCCCUCGGGUUGUAAACUACUUUUGUACGGAACGAAAAGCUCUCUUCUAAUAAAGGAGAGUGAUGACGGUACCGUAAGAAUAAGCACCGGCUAACUACGUGCCAGCAGCCGCGGUAAUACGUAGGGUGCGAGCGUUAAUCGGAAUUACUGGGCGUAAAGCGUGCGCAGGCGGUUAUGUAAAACAGAGGUGAAAUCCCCGGGCUCAACCUGGGAACGGCCUUUGUGACUGCAUAGCUAGAGUACGGUAGAGGGGGAUGGAAUUCCGCGUGUAGCAGUGAAAUGCGUAGAUAUGCGGAGGAACACCGAUGGCGAAGGCAAUCCCCUGGACCUGUACUGACGCUCAUGCACGAAAGCGUGGGGAGCAAACA